rnacentral:rRNA from 1 species
GAUGAACGCUGGCGGCGUGCCUAAUACAUGCAAGUCGAGCGAACAGACGAGGAGCUUGCUCCUCUGACGUUAGCGGCGGACGGGUGAGUAACACGUGGAUAACCUACCUAUAAUACUGGGAUAACUUCGGGAAACCGGAGCUAAUACCGGAUAAUAUAUUGAACCGCAUGGUUCAAUAGUGAAAGACGGUUUUGCUGUCACUUAUAGAUGGAUCCGCGCCGCAUUAGCUAGUUGGUAAGGUAACGGCUUACCAAGGCAACGAUGCGUAGCCGACCUGAGAGGGGGAUCGGCCACACUGGAACUGAGACACGGUCCAGACUCCUACGGGAGGCAGCAGUAGGGAAUCUUCCGCAAUGGGCGAAAGCCUGACGGAGCAACGCCGCGUGAGUGAUGAAGGUCUUCGGAUCGUAAAACUCUGUUAUUAGGGAAGAACAAAUGUGUAAGUAACUAUGCACGUCUUGACGGUACCUAAUCAGAAAGCCACGGCUAACUACGUG